GUGCUCGCUUCGGCAGCACAUCAAUUAACACUGGAAUGAUACGCAGAAGACCAGCCUGGCUCCUGCGUAAGGAUGACACGUAAAAGUCAGAAAAUAAGAGGAUAUUU